GACUCAUGAUGUACAAUCUCACGAUGGUCUUCCAAGCCCCACUGAUGAAGGGGUUUUGACGAGAGCGGCCAAAAGGCCUUGACUGAAGUCAGCUC